UUCAUAUUUUUGCAAAUCCAUUAGAUUUUCAAGGAGUAAUUUUAUUUGUACAGAAGGGUGAUAAAGUCAUAUUAUUUAUCUGUAUUUUCAAAAAGCUUUUGAUUUGACUUUUACCGUAGGCUUUCAAAGUGUGUUCUUAUGAAUAAGAGGAUAAAAAACUGUCUAAAAGAAAGGAAACUUGCCACUAGUUUACAUAAUACAAAGUCAUUUCCAGAGCCCACAAAAAUCUCUGCUUCUCAACAUAUUCAGAAACGUUAUGGAGAAGCAUAAUGCCACAACGGUGGCUUGCAGACACAGAAAGGGAGGUGGAGGGCAGCACUGGGGCAGCAACCUCACAGAUCUGUUGGGUUGCUCUGGUUAGGUUUGCUGCAUGCCAGCACAAGAAGCGGACGUGACUAAAGGGUGGGAACAAGAAAGAGUAGGACUGUUCCUUGGAGCAAUGCUGGGAACUAUGGCCCAAAUGGCCCAAAGCUCUGCUGCUUUGGAAAGGAGCUGCUUCAGGCGGGAUAUAACAGAGGCCUAUGCGUGCAAACAAAAAGGGUGUGAUCAUUCACUCCUAGAAGACAGGAAUUUAGGAUACCCUGUAGCAUUACCAGGCAUGGAACGCAGGGCUUGGGAAAGGCAGGAGUCAUAGAAUCAUUAGGGUUGGAAAAGACCACUAAAAUCAUCCAGUCCAACUACCAGCCUACCCCCACCGUGCCCACUGACCACAUCCCUCAGUGCCACAUCCACACGGUUCUUCAACACCUCCAGGAGUGGUGACUGCAUCCCCUUCCUGGGCAGCCUCUGCUACUGCCUCACCACUCCUUCUGAGAAGAAAUUCUUCCUAAUAUCCAACCUGAUAUAUAUGUAAUGUGUAUUGUUUACAUUAGUUACACUGUAUAUGCUGUAGAUUAUUGUGGAUAUACAAGUGUCUGUUAGAUACAGCAAAAUAAAUGACAUCCUAUGAUCUGUCACAUUCACCUGUCCGCUGAAAACGGCAGCAAUAAACCUUGGUGGACUGCAGGCGCAGUUGGGAGCUCUGACGCACAGCUCUGGGUAACAGCUAACGGGGUUUUGCAGAAUCACGGCGGUUGGAAGGGACCUCUGGAGACCACCCAGCCCAGCCCCUUGCAGAGCUGAUUGUAAAACGCCGGAAUAAACUGCAACGUUAGCGGCGGAUAAAACACGCUGGGACGCGGGGGAGAAGCCCUUCCACGCAGAGCUGCGGGGCCACACCGCCCUCCCCGCUCGGGGGCAGCCCCGCAGGCAGGUGGGCGGCGGGGGGGGCGGGCAGGGGGC
ensembl:lncRNA